GGUGUGGGUGGGUGGUGUUUGUUUCUGUUGGAAUCAUUAAGCUCACUUGAACACAUAAGAUUGCAUUUGCCGGUGACAACGUAAACUUGUUAUGGGCAUUAUUUCAAGUAACCUUUUAAGUUCCUUUAUACGUGCUGGUCUCACAUGUUUCCUGAAAGUCAUGAUUUAAUCUAGGCUUAGUUAUAGACAUCUUACAUGGUUUGAAGGU
rnacentral:misc_RNA from 1 species